AAUUCUCAACCUUGCCAGCUUUCACGAGUUGGUGUAGGCUUGGAUGUGGGGGUUGCCGGCUUCUUCAGAGGUCGGCUCUCCUUAAAUGCAUUAGCGGAACCUUUGUGGACCGUCUCUGGUGUGAUAAUUAUCUACGCCAUUGCCGUGAAGCAGCUUUACAUGGGGUUCAGCUCAUAACCGUCCAUUGACUUGGACAACUCUUGACA
rnacentral:misc_RNA from 2 species